AACACUGCCAUUGAAGCUUUGAUGUCAGAACAAGACGCCCUCAGAGAAGAGUUCGCUAACAUGAGACAAGAAUUUCUGGGAUACAUGAACGGUAUGACAAAUCAGUUUCACGAGUUGCUAAAUCGUGUUAACUCCUUUGCUCCUCCGGCCAGAGAUCAUGCAGAUGGAUAGAAGUUGUUUUUCUUAGCUAUUUAGUUUUAAGUUAGAUUAUUCAUUAAUGUUAUUUCAAAUUAUGUUCGUAUUUGUUUCUUUUUCGCAUUUUUGUUUUUUUUCUUCCAAUGUUAC
rnacentral:lncRNA from 1 species